rnacentral:rRNA from 1 species
UACGGAGGGUGCGAGCGUUGUCCGGAAUCAUUGGGCGUAAAGGGCGCGUAGGUGGCCCGGUCAGUCUUUGGUGAAAGCGCGGGGCUCAACCCUGCGUCGGCCAGGGAUACUGCCGCGGCUGGAGCACUGUAGAGGCAGGCGGAAUUCCGGGUGUAGCGGUGGAAUGCGUAGAGAUCCGGAAGAACACCGGUGGCGAAGGCGGCCUGCUGGGCAGUAGCUGACACUGAGGCGCGACAGCGUGGGGAGCAAACAGG